rnacentral:rRNA from 1 species
UACGAGGGGUGCAAGCGUUAUUCGGAAUCAUUGGGCGUAAAGGGUGUGUAGGCGGCAAUCUAAGUCAACUGUUAAAUACUCCGGCCUAACUGGAGAUCAGCGGUAGAUACUGGGUUGCUAGAGGAUGGAAGAGAGAAGUGGAAUUCUCGGAGUAGCGGUAAAAUGCGUGGAUCUCGAGAGGAACACCAAUGGCGAAGGCAGCUUCUUGGUCCAUUUCUGACGCUGAGACACGAAAGCGUGGGGAGCAAACAGGAUUAGAUACCCCAGUA